rnacentral:rRNA from 1 species
UAGGCGGUUUUUAGUUUGCUAUUUAAUAAAAUAUCAAAUUUUUUUGAAUAUGUUUUAUAAACAUUAAAACGAUUAGAGUUUUUUUAAAAAAAGAAGAAUCCUUUAAAGAAGGGUUAAAAUCCAAUAAAUUAAUAGAGAAUACCAAAGGCGAAAGCAUCUUUUUAAAAAAAACUGGCGUUGAUUAUACGAAAGUAUAGGUAUCAAACAGGAUUAGAUACCCUGGUAGUCUAUACCCUAAACGAUGAGUAUUAAAUAUUUUGUUUUAAAGUAUUUUAGUUAACACGUUAAAUACUCUGCCUGGGGAGUACGGUCGCAAGAUUAAAACUUAAAGGAAUUGACGGGAACUUGCACAAGCGGUGGGGCAUGCGGUUUAAUCCGAUAAUACACGUAAAAUCUUACCAGCUCUUGAAGAAACAGGUGUUGCAUGGCUGUCGUCAGCUCGUGUCGUAAGAUGUUUGGUUAACUCCUUUAACGGGCGCAACCCUUUCUUAUCUUAAGUACUGCUGUUAAACUAACAGAGGAAGGGAAGGAUAACGCCAAGUCGUCAUGGCCCUUAUGAGCUGGGCUACACAUGUGUCACAAAGUUAUAUACAACGAGAAGCGAUGAAACGAUUCGGAGCAAGCUUUAACAUAUAACCUAGUUCGGAUUAUUCUCUGAAACUCGAGAGUAUGAAGGCGUAAUCGCUAGUAAUCGCAUAUCAUUAUGGUGCGGUGAAUAAGUGACCAAGUUUUGUACACACCGCCCGUCACGCCCGGAAAGUUGGCUUUGUUUGAAGGAUAUUCGGUAAUUAUACACUUCGUGGUAUAUAGCCGCAUCUGAUAGUGGGGUUGAUGAUCGGGGCGAAGUCGUAACAAGGUAGCUGUAGGGGAACCUGUAGCUG